GAUGAACGCUAGCUACAGGCUUAACACAUGCAAGUCGAGGGAAAACGAUAUUGGAAGCUUGCUUCCGAUAGGCGUCGACCGGCGCACGGGUGAGUAACGCGUAUCCAACCUGCCCAUCACUUGGGGAUAACCUUGCGAAAGUAAGACUAAUACCCAAUGACGUCUCUAGAAGACAUCUGAAAGAGAUUAAAGAUUUAUCGGUGAUGGAUGGGGAUGCGUCUGAUUAGCUUGUUGGCGGGGUAACGGCCCACCAAGGCGACGAUCAGUAGGGGGUCUGAGAGGAAGGUACCCCAAAUUGGAACUGAGACACGGUCCAAACGCCUACGGGAGGCAGCAGUGAGGAAUAUUGGUCAAUGGGCGAGAGCCUGAACCAGCCAAGUAGCGUGCAGGAUGACGGCCCUAUGGGUUGUAAACUGCUUUUAUAAGGGAAUAAAGUGAGAGUCGUGACUCUUUUUGCAUGUACCUUAUGAAUAAGGACCGGCUAAUUCCGUGCCAGCCGCCGCAGUAA
rnacentral:rRNA from 1 species